rnacentral:rRNA from 1 species
CUAUGCGCCUUGCCAGCCCGCUCAGGUGUGCCAGCCGCGCGGUAAUACGGAGGGUGCAAGCGUUAAUCGGAAUUACUGGCGUAAAGCGCACGCAGGCGGUUUGUUAAGUCAGAUGUGAAAUCCCCGGGCUCAACCUGGGAACUGCAUCUGAUACUGGCAAGCUUGAGUCUCGUAGAGGGGGGUAGAAUUCCAGGUGUAGCGGUGAAAUGCGUAGAGAUCUGGAGGAAUACCGGUGGCGAAGGCGGCCCCCUGGACGAAGACUGACGCUCAGUGCGAAAGCGUGGGGAGCAAACAGG